CCUACGGGAGGCAGCAGUGGGGAAUAUUGGACAAUGGGCGCAAGCCUGAUCCAGCCAUGCCGCGUGAGUGAUGAAGGCCCUAGGGUUGUAAAGCUCUUUCAGCGAGGAGGAUAAUGACGUUACUCGCAGAAGAAGCCCCGGCUAACUUCGUGCCAGCAGCCGCGGUAAU
rnacentral:rRNA from 2 species